AUUGAACGCUGGCGGCAUGCCUUACACAUGCAAGUCGAACGGCAGCAUGAUCUAGCUUGCUAGAUUGAUGGCGAGUGGCGAACGGGUGAGUAAUACAUCGGAACGUGCCCUGUAGUGGGGGAUAACUAGUCGAAAGAUUAGCUAAUACCGCAUACGACCUGAGGGUGAAAGUGGGGGACCGCAAGGCCUCAUGCUAUAGGAGCGGCCGAUGUCUUAUUAGCUAGUUGGUGAGGUAAAGGCUCACCAAGGCGACGAUCAGUAGCUGGUCUGAGAGGACGAUAAGCCACACUGGGACUGAGACACGGCCCAGACUCCUACGGGAGGCAGAAGUGGGGAAUUUUGGACAAUGGGCGAAAGCAUGACACAGCAAUGCCGCGUGUGUGAAGAAGGCCUUGGGGUUGUAAAGAACUUUUGUCCGGAGAGAAAUGGCUCUGGUUAAUACCUGGGGUCGAUGACGGUACCGGAAGAAUAAGGACCGGCUAACUACGUG
rnacentral:rRNA from 1 species